AAGUCGUAACAAGGUUUCCGUAGGUGAACCUGCGGAAGGAUCAUUAACACGUUAUCCAUACGUUAACCAAUGAGAAUCGUUUUCAUCUCCCUUCGCACCUGGAGGAGCGGUAACUGAUAGAGGCAUUGAAAGGGAUUACUUCGGUAGUCAGUUUCUAUCAGGAAUAGUGGUAAAUCGAAAGAUUUAUGCAAUACGCUGAACCAUUUCGCGGAGAUUCGUCCCGGACAGUGCUCUCCUUUCAUUGAGCGCUAGAUGGGAUAACUUAUUAACUUAUUUCACCUUUUUGCUAGUUGACUUUUAUAUGUUGUUCUUUGCGCUUGUCGUAAGGUUCACACGUUUAAUUAUUUGAACGUUAAAAAUACAACUCUUAGCAAUGGAUAUCUUGGUUCUC
rnacentral:misc_RNA from 1 species